rnacentral:rRNA from 1 species
GCCCUGCUACAAAUUUGCAAGGUGAAACCUGCUCAAUGGCUGCUAAUAAACAAUAACAACAGUUAAAUAGCCGCGGUAACUCUGACCGUGAUAAAGUAGCAUAAUCACUCGUCAUUUAAUUGGUGACUGGAAUGAAUGGUUAAACGAAUCUCUUACUGUCUCAAGAAGAAAUCUAACUAAAUUGAAAUGAUAGUGAAGAUGCUAUCCUAUGAUUAUAAGACGAAAAGACCCUAUUGAGCUUUACUAAAAACUUAUAAUUAACCUCAUUUGAAUAUUUAUAUAACGAAAAUUUUUGUAAGUUUGUUAGUUUGGUUGGGGCGACCACCUCUAAAAUAGUAUCAGAGGAAUUCUAAAGGUUUUGUAGUAAUAUAAAAAGCCUUACUGAAUAUUUAUGGAUUAAACAGUUACCUAUCGGUAGGAUAUAAUGACCCGUUAAUUAAUUUUAUUAAGUUAACGAAUAUAGAAAAAGUUACCAUAGGGAUAACAGGGUAAUAUUUUUGAAGAGUUCAUAUCGAUAAAAAUGUUUGCCACCUCGAUGUUGAAUUGUGGUAUCCUAAAGGUGCAGCAGCUUUUAAGGGUUG